UCAAAAUGUCAUAGUUUUAUUAUUUUUGUUUGUUCAAGAUUGUUUGGAAAUUAUGACUCAAAAUUUGCAAGUUUUUGCAAUUUUUUCAAUUUUUGAACGUUCAAACUUCAAAUUUGUCUGAUUAAAAACAAUGAUAAGAAAUUCCAAAGUCCAUGAUUAGAAGAGUUUCGUGCGUUUCGGCUGAAAUAAUAUGUUCAGUUGUUUUAUUUUCGGCCGAAAUACUGUCGACGGUAAUAUAUUUUGAUAAUUUCAUGUUCGGCUAAAAUACAGUUCGGUUAUUUUAUAGGUUUCCUAUGUAAGAUUAACACAAAUUCCAUGAGAUCAGUGAUUUCUGAUGGAUGAGGUCACGUCUUGUCGAAACCGAAAACGGAUUCUGGAAAAAAACCACGAAAUAAAAUACAAUUUAUAAACUAAAAACCAAAAGUUCGUUAUUUUUACGAAUUAUGCAUACAAAUUUUUCAUUAUUACUAUAUUUUUCGUACAAACCUGUGUAUAGGGUUAUGUCUAUUUGUUUGCGAAAAACUCACAAAUUUUUGUUUGGUAAACAUGCAGGUAUUUAAAUUUAUAUCUAUAAACAACAACGAUAAACCAUUGGCUAACGAAAAACGAUUCAGAGCGGAGUUCGGUAAUACAUAUUUUAAAAGGCCGUAAUAUUUACGAGAUUUGUCAACAUUUUAUUUUAAAACUAAUAAAAAAAUAAA